rnacentral:rRNA from 1 species
UACGUAGGGGGCUAGCGUUGUCCGGAAUCAUUGGGCGUAAAGCGCGUGUAGGCGGCUUGGUAAGUCUGCUCUGAAAGCCCGGGGCUCAACCCCGGGAGGCGGGUGGAUACUGUCAAGCUCGAGUCCGGAAGAGGAGUGUGGAAUUCCUGGUGUAGCGGUGAAAUGCUUAGACAUCGUCAAGAACACCUAUUGCGAAGGCAGCUCACUAAGCUUUAACUGACACUGAGGCACGAAAGUGUGGGGAUCAAACAGG